GUGGCUCUAGAGGUUUAUUUUAAGGGAAAUAUGAGAUUUAUAGUUCUAAAGGUACAGCCUUUAGCAUUUAAACUUUUUUUUCAGUUCUGUUUCUCUCCAGAUAUGUAUAUGUUCAUAGUGGUUCUCCCUGGCCCUGGAAGCGCUCCCUGGAAGUCUGAGGAAGAACAAGGAAAUCCCUACAUUUCAAUCAGUACCGAGGUGCUGUCUUUUAUUGUAUUUGCUAAGUACAAUGAAGCUGGGAGCUGAAUAGCGAUCUGCUGAAUAGUGAUGAUGAUACUAUGGAAAAAUUUAUACUUCCUGUGCUAUCCAUCUUACAGUCUGAAGGAACUGGGUCACAAAUGGUAAGUUGCUCAAGGGCACCAAAUGUCACAAGAGGAAUAGAUGGCUAAGUAUUUCCACAGACCACUGAAACUCAGCGAUUAAAUAAAUAUAAGUGGCUGCAUUCUUUAUAGAGUUGA
rnacentral:lncRNA from 1 species